rnacentral:rRNA from 1 species
GAUGAACGCUGGCGGCGCGCCUAACACAUGCAAGUCGAACGGACCUGCGAGAAGCUUGCUUUUCUUAGCUUAGUGGCGAACGGGUGAGUAACGCGUGAGUAACCUGCCCUGGAGUGGGGGACAACAGUUGGAAACGACUGCUAAUACCGCAUAAGAUCACGAUCCGGCAUCUGAUUGAGGGAAAAGGAUUUAUUCGCUUCAGGAUGGACUCGCGUCCAAUUAGCUAGGUGGUGAGGUAACGGCCCACCAAGGCGACGAUUGGUAGCCGGACUGAUUGGUUGAACGGCCACAUUGGGAGUGAGGCACGGGUCAGACACCUACGGGAGGGAGCAGUAGGGGAUAGGGCACAAUGGGGGAAACCCAGAUACAGCGACGCCGCGUGGAGGAAGAAUGUUUUCGGAGAGUAAACGCGUGUCGUAAGAGACGAUAAUGGCGGUACCUAACAAGAAAGGACCGGCUAACUACGGU